AUCGCAUCAUCUCUCCGAAGCCUGUCCGCCUACUGUACCGCGAAUUUCAAUUCGCCCAAACAACGGCGCACAGGACUGUACCGCAAAAUUCAUUUUGCGAUACCAGGUAAAAGUGGAAACGCUUUUGCCCCCCGCCCUCACCCUGUCCCUCUCCCGGAGGGAGAGGGGAAGCAUUUGGAAAGGA
rnacentral:ncRNA from 2 species